GACGGAAGGUGCAAGCGUUGCUCGGAAUCACUGGGCGUAAAGGGUGCGUAGGCGGCUUGGUGGGUCUGGUGUGAAAGCCCCGGGCUCAGCCCGGGAAGGGCGCUAGAAACUGCCGAGCUCGAGUGCCGGAGGGGAGAGUGGAAUUCCUGGUGUAGCGGUGAAAUGCAUAGAUAUCAGGAGGAAUACCGGUGGCGAAAGCGACUCUCUGGACGGCAACUGACGCUGAGGUGCGAAAGCGUGGGGAGCAAACAGG
rnacentral:rRNA from 1 species